AAUAAGCUAAUUAAGAGCGUAAGGUGGAUGCCUUGGCUCUCAGAGGCGAUGAAGGACGUGAUAAGCUGCGAUAAGCUACGGGGAUUGGCACACACAAUUUGAUCCGUAGAUUUCCGAAUGGGGAAACCCACUAUAUUGAAGAUAUAGUAUCCGUUAAGGAAGCAAACCCAGGGAACUGAAACAUCUAAGUACCUGGAGGAAUAGAAAUCAAAAGUGAUUCCGCUAGUAGUGGCGAGCGAACGCGGAUCAGCCCAAACCAAAAUUGUUUCGGCAAUUUUGGGGUUGUAGGACCACGACAUUGAAUGUUUAAUGAAUUAGAAUUCUUUGGAAAAAGAAA
rnacentral:rRNA from 1 species